AUGGGCCUCUGUGAUGGUAAAUUAACGGAGACAACCACCGAGAUCCUCCUUUACAAGCUACAAGCUGCCACCAUAUGUAAAGAAAAUGACGAGGAGAUGGACGAUUCGAAGGAUUCCGAAGCUUACCGGUCAGCGUAUAAACUAAGGAAGGUGAUUUAUCAGCGAAAUUCUUUGCCUUCAGGGCAACAACAUGGUUCAAGACAUGGCUGCAGUUUGGUUCGUGUUGCAAUGCUUGGAGGAAAUAUGAAGGCACAUGGCGAUGAUGAAUCAAUGAAGAUUAAAGUAAAGUGA